CCUACGGGACGCAGCAGUGAGGAAUAUUGGUCAAUGGGCGAGAGCCUGAACCAGCCAAGUCGCGUGAGGGAAGACGGUCCUAUGGAUUGUAAACCUCUUUUGCCGGGGAGCAAAAAGCGGUACGUGUACCGCAUCGAGAGUACCCGGAGAAAAAGCAUCGGCUAACUACGUGCCAGCAGCCGCGGUCAUACGUAGGAUCCGAGCAUUAUCCGGAGUGACUGGGUGUAAAGAGUUGCGUAGGUGGCAUAAUAAGUAGCUAGUGAAAUCUGGUGGCUCAACCAUUCAGACUAUUAGCUAAACUGUUA
rnacentral:rRNA from 1 species